UUGCAUCUCUGAAACCCCCUGGUGUCUUUGUUGUAGACUGCAGGACAAGAAGAGAUGCUACAGAAAGCAUGAGACUUCCAAAAAGCAGAGACCUCGCCUCGCCUCUGUUUUAUUUCACCUCUCGCACAUUA